CAUUUUUCUUUCAAAUCACCCUGGUCUCGCUCAAAUCUUGAAAUGAAAUCCAAGCUUUUAGAGCCAAAGCCAAGUCCAACGCUGGAGUCUAAAUUAAGAUCAUUUCUCGGACCGUUAUUAAGCUAAAACCAAUGCUACUCAACUAUUCUUUGUAAGAAUGAGCGAGUAUCAUUGACUUCAACUUAUUUCAAAGUCUACCAGUUGCAUGCAAGGCCAAUACCAAUGUAUUUAUCAGGAGCGACCCCAGUCGAGCUGUGAUUGAGUAAGUCCGUCCUCCUCUCUUUUGAUUUUUCUUUUACUGGCUCAUUUUCUUCCUCAUCUCCUUUCUCUGGGUGGUCGGAAUUUGCUAGGGUAUUUUGAGUUUAAACCAGAUCCUUUUCUUUUCUUUUGUCAACUGAAACAUUUGAACUUUUGAGUCACUCUGUCUUUGUGCUAAUAAGCAUUAAUGUUUCGUUAGUCAGUUCACCUACCAAUAAGGAAAAUAGGCCCAUCAUUGAUUUGUUGUUAUGAAAUUAGAUUGUUUAUCUCUUUAAUUCCGCCUUUUGUUCUGUUAGAAAUUGUUCCGGGCCUCUUUAUUUGGGAAAACUUUUGUUUAGCCCUAGUCUGGCCCAUAAGUGUAUUGAUUGGUUCAUAAAUAGCAACGGGCCCAAUAGGAUUCAAUGGGGAGUCUGUGAUCCAUUUAGCUCAGCCAGCUGACCCAUUUUGGGUAGGUUUCAGAGGUAAAAAAAGGAUAAUUGGGGGUAGUUUGGGUAAUUAGGCAAGAGAAUCUUGUGAAUAACCAUGUUAAGAAGCUUCUAGAAGCUGAAAAUGAACUUGCUUGACAAGCAAGUCGAAAUUUGAGGGAUUGCUAAAAUAAAAACAAAAUUAGAAGGACUAAAAGGAAAGUUAAAAUUUGAAGUGUUUACUCUAUUUACUUGCCUAUAAAGGCAUUGUGAACCUAAGCUAAAUUCAGAUUUGGAGGGCUAAAAAAAACCCAGAAAUAAUAGAGUAUGUUGAGACUUUCUCAAAUACUGUUCCAUUGGUUGUUUUUGGUUUUUGUUGAAGUUUUAAGUUUCUGGUAAUCUAGAGUCAUUUGAGGUUGAAAUGAGUUGAAGUUCAGUCAUUUUAAAGCUUGUCUAAGUUUGUUCAAUUGGAAAACACUAUUACAUUGAGGGUUCCACUGGGAGUUCCGAAAUUUCUCAUCCCCUGAAUGAUAUUUGGUUCCAUUUGAGUUGUAAAAAUGGAUUUCUAACAUUGUUGAGUGCUGAGCCGUGGGUGUUAUAGUUCCCUCAUUCCAGUCUUCCUUUUCAUUUCUAGGUACAUGACUUUGUAACCCUUUGGCUGUGAAUUGAACUUGAGGAAUAACAUGUUGUGAAGACAAAAAUGAAGAUUUCCUGAUUGCUUUCCAUUUUCUUUCCAUUUCUCCUUUGUUUUCCUUAUCUAUGGCCUUAAGUCAUAUUGGUUAUCUAAGGUGACUAAUAGAAUGACCAUAGAUUUAGCUUUUUGAAUGUUAUAUGGUAACUUAGUUUGAUGUUUAUUCUAGGUUGGUGCUUUGCAUGUAGUCACUUUACCAUUCGUUGUUUCGAAGGCAGUAGUUGGAUUGGUUUAAAUGAAAUUGACUUGAUUAUGUUCAUUUUAGGCUAUUAAAUUUGCUGGGAAUUGGUUUCUAUGCCUAGCUUAUGUAUACUUUCAGAAUAUGUGUUUGUAUUGCUUGUUUAGUGUAUUGUUUUAUUAGAAUUGGUAUUCUCGAAGAAUUGUGAUUCAAACCAUGAAUUCACAGUUAAGUUGAGUCUGAAACUUGCUAAGCCAUGUGGGAUCUUCUGCAUAUUCUUAGAGUUUUUACUUGUUUACAUCCUCAAGUGUACAUGGCUGCUCGCUUUAGCAGGAAUUUGGACAUGUUCUUAGUUUUUCCUUAAGAUUCAGUUUAAUUUUUUUAGGAUCAACUUAAUUUUUGUUUCUUAUUUUUAGACCCUGAAUUUUACAUCUUGGUCUCUCGUAAUUUCUUUUUGGAAUUCAAGGGAUACGUUUAUGGUCUUGAGAAUUAGAACUCAAAUAAUGAGUUUGAAGUUUGGCAAGUUACCAAAAUUAACUAGUCAAUGCAAUACUUCACUCAUUUUGCUGUUGUCAAGUUUGUGACUGGA
rnacentral:lncRNA from 1 species